UUUGUUGCUAAAAAGUUUAGAGAUCUUUGGCCAAGUCUAUCACUUCAACUUUUGCUGACUCAUGAUGUGUUUCUUAAUCAAGUUGUUUGAUUAGUAUGGAAUACAAAGCUAGCUUACAAUCCAAUUUUGCUGUAUUCUAUAUGAUGAGAAGUGAUAAGAGUUUGUCUACAGGAGGGAUGACUACCUUUUCUUUCGAAACCUUUUAGUUGCUUGGUUGAUUUCGAAACCUUUUAGUUGCUUGGUUGACCAACUUGGAAAUCUGUUAAAGGUUGUUGAUUUCAAGUCUUAUUGAGCACAUGGUUAGCUAGUUUUAAAUUGUUUUAUUUUAACUUGUGUCUAUAUGGUUUGGCUUUGUUGGCCUGGUUUAUGCAAGUUCUUGAUUUCCUUCUUCUAUUUGCAGCUGUUAUGCUUUUUUAGUAACUGAAAAAAGUGGUAGGUAUGAUGAUAGGGGGUUGGUUGUGAUUUUUCUCCAUGGAAUUUCUUCUUUUUACUGUAGGAUGAGCAAAGUGAGACCGUACUCAUUUUGAUGUCUGUACUCAUUGCGUUGUAUUUGUGAAUGAUUAUGUUUUGGGAAAUGUCAUAUUCAUUCUUUCGUCUGCUUCCUUCCCUGAUUCUCUGGCCUUCAUUGAUCUUGCUACACGGAUGGGGCGAUAUGAGAAGCUGAAUGUAUGACUUAUGCUUAAAAAGAAAUUGAAACCUAAAUAAUUAAAUGAUAAUUAGCUUUUUUCCUUCUCAAUCACUAUAUAUUACAAAAAUAUUUUUUUUAAUGUUUCCACCUGGUGUUCUUUACCCGUUUUGGGACCCGACUAACCCGGAUUCGUGGCGGGAAGUCCCACUUUGGGAGGUAAAGUGUUCCCUACCAAAGGAAACUCCGUACUUAGGGCUCGAGCAUGAGAUCUCAUGGCUAAGGAUAGGAAAGUAUUUACCUCAUGGCUAAGGAUAGGAAAGUAUUUACCUCAUGGCUAAGGAUAGGGAAAUAUUUACCCCCCCUCCACACUUUUGGUGUUAAUCUUCUAUAAAAAUGAUCUUUUCUUCAUAUUCUAGCAGUACGACAAUUCUUUGUGUUUCU
rnacentral:lncRNA from 1 species